UAUGAGAAGAUACGUCAUGGUGGUGACCGGGCGAAAGAAGAACCAAUUUGCAUCUGAGAGAGGAACAAGAUGCUGCUUACAGGGCUGCUCUUGAAGCCGAUCAAGCACGGGAGAGCCAGAGACAGGAAGAGGAAGAGCGGUUAGAGAGGGAAGCUGAUGUUGCACAAGUUUUGGUAAGGUUCCCGAAUGGAGAAAGAAAAGGGAGGAGGUUUGAAAGCAAUACACCGUAUGACUGCGUUGAUUCAUUUGGAGUGCUUGAAACAGAAGAGUAUAGCUUAAUCACAAACUUUCCAAGAACAGUGUACAGAAGAGACAAAGAGUCAAUGUCACUGAAAGAUGCAGGUUUGCAUCCUCAGACAAGUGUGUUCAUUGAGAUACAUUAAGUCUCAGAUUCUUCUGUUUCUUUCUCCUUAAGCCACUUUUUCAGUUUUUUUUUCCAGCUCUUUUAAAAAAUUAGUAGUGUAGCUUCAGUGAUCUGAUGAAUAAGAUAACAUAUAUAUACACAUAUUUUCAGAAGUUGUGUCACAUAUUUGAUAUAUUUCUUUCUUAAAAUAAUGAGGUCUCGCAUUGUACU